rnacentral:rRNA from 1 species
CGAAGGCAAGCGGAUCUCUUAAAGCUGUUCUCAGUUCGGACUGCAGUCUGCAACUCGACUGCACGAAGCUGGAAUCGCUAGUAAUCGCGGAUCAGCACGCCGCGGUGAAUACGUUCCCGGGCCUUGUACACACCGCCCGUCACACCAUGGGAGCCAGGAAUGCCCGAAGCCAGUGGCCUAACCGCAAGGGAGGAGCUGUCGAAGGCAGGCCCGGUAACUGGGGUGAAGUCGUAACAAGGUACC